UACGCACAUAUCACGUCGAAAGACCCCUUCUCGUACGAUCACUGAAGUUAAACAAGGUCAAGCUUGGUCAGUACCAAGAUUGGUGACCGCUUGGGAAGUGCU